UACGUAGGGUGCGAGCGUUGUCCGGAAUCAUUGGGCGUAAAGCGCGUGUAGGCGGUUCGGUAAGUCUGCUGUGAAAGUCCAGGGCUCAACCCUGGGAUGCCGGUGGAUACUGUCGGACUAGAGUACGGAAGAGGCGAGUGGAAUUCCCGGUGUAGCGGUGAAAUGCGCAGAUAUCGGGAGGAACACCUGAGGUGAAGACGGGUUGCUGGGCCGACACUGACGCUGAUGCGCGAAAGCCAGGGGAGGCAAACGGG
rnacentral:rRNA from 1 species